UACGUAGGGAGCAAGCGUUGUUCGGAUUUACUGGGCGUAAAGGGCGCGUAGGCGGCGCGACAAGUCACUUGUGAAAUCUCCGGGCUUAACUCGGAACGGUCAAGUGAUACUGUCGUGCUAGAGUGCGGAAGGGGCUACUGGAAUUCUCGGUGUAGCGGUGAAAUGCGUAGAUAUCGAGAGGAACACCUGCGGCGAAGGCGGGUAGCUGGGCCGACACUGACGCUGAAGCGCGAAAGCUAGGGGAGCGAACGGG
rnacentral:rRNA from 1 species